rnacentral:rRNA from 1 species
CCUACUGGUGGCAGCAGUGAGGAAUAUUGGUCAAUGGACGGAAGUCUGCACCAGCCAUGCCGCGUGCAGGAUGACGGCCCUAUGAGUUGUAAACUGCUUUUGUACGAGAAUAAUAGUUCUUACGUGUAGGGAUUUGAAUGUAUCGUAAGAAUAAGGAUCGGCUAACUCCGUGCCAGCAGCCGCGGUAAUACGGAGGAUUCGAGCGUUAUCCGGCUUUAUUGGGUUUAAGGGGUGCGUCGGCUGUCGGAGAAGGUAGAGGUCAAAUGUCGGGGCUUAACCCCGUGCCUGACUCUGAUACUGUCCGACUAGAGAGCGGAUGCAGCAGGCGGAAUGAGUAGUGUAGCGGUGAAAUGCUUAGAUAUUACUCAGAACACCGAUUGCGCAGGCAGCUUGCUAAUCCGCAUCUGACGCUGAUGCACGAAAGCGUGGGUAGCGAACAGGAUUAGAUACCCGGGUAGUC